rnacentral:rRNA from 1 species
UGGGGAAUAUUGGGCAAUGGGCGAAAGCCUGACCCAGCAACGCCGCGUGAGUGAUGAAGGCCUUCGGGUUGUAAAACUCUUUGGACAGGGACGAAGAAAGUGACGGUACCUGUAGAACAAGCCACGGCUAACUACGCGCCAGCAGCCGCGGUAAUACGUAGGUGGCGAGCGUUAUCCGGAUUUACUGGGCGUAAAGGGCGUGUAGGCGGCUAGAUAAGUGUGAUGUUUAAAUCCAAGGCUUAACCUUGGGGUUCAUUACAAACUGUUUAGCUUGAGUGCUGGAGAGGAUAGUGGAAUUCCUAGUGUAGCGGUAAAAUGCGUAGAUAUUAGGAGGAACACCGGUGGCGAAGGCGGCUAUCUGGACAGUAACUGACGCUGAGGCUCGAAAGCGUGGGGAGCGAACAGG